UCGAGAACUGUUUUGACAGCAUCUGCAUCUCUCUCCGGUGUAUUAAUCCUGCAGUUCCAUCACAGUGUUUGGAGAUCUUUCCAUUUCCGAGGACCUCCUGUGGCAAUGGAAAGUGGUGUGAAGCUGGGCGUUGUGUAGCAAACACUGAGGCUCCGGCUACUGUUGAGGGAUGUCCUCAAGGAGAUGAUCCAACUGCUGCUUGUGACGCCGCUCAGUGUCCUAACUACAGGCCUGACGUAAAGAGUAUUCUGUGUUGCAACACCUGUAAUGAACCAUAUAUUUGCCCAACAACUACAACCACCACCCCGACACCGUUUGGUGUGUCCAAAUGUAGGCGAAAGUUUGGACGAUAAUUACGUGUAAAUGAUCAUAGUGACUUUGCUUAUUCCUGAGGUAGAAUUGGCCAAUUAUACAAAGAAAC